AUGAAGAAUUCUGGAGGAGGUGCAACCCGCUUCAAAGAGCAUCUUGGCAAGAUAGUAGGUGAAGUGAAGGAGUGCCCAAAUGUUCCAAGAAAUGUGCAUGAUAUAAUGAGGAAGGCCGUGCUUGAGAUGAGGAAAAAGAAGAGGGAGAAGGAAAGUCGUAAGCUUAGAUUUGAACGUGAGUUGAUGGAUGAGAUGUACCAGAGAAAUGGUGUGAUAAAUAUUGAUGAUGAUAAAGAUGAAGAAAUUCAUAUGGCACUACGGGAGUCACUAAGAGACAGGAAUGUUCUGUUUUUACUUUAUUUUGUCUUAUUCUGGUUUUACUUUAUAUCAUGA
rnacentral:rRNA from 1 species